GACGAACGCUGGCGGCGUGCUUAACACAUGCAAGUCGAGCGGUAAGGCCCUUUCGGGGGUACACGAGCGGCGAACGGGUGAGUAACACGUGGGUGACCUGCCCUCAGCUCUGGGAUAAGCCUGGGAAACCGGGUCUAAUACUGGAUAUGACUCCAUGACGCAUGUUGUGGGGUGGAAGCCUUGUGCGGCUGAGGAUGGGCCCGCGGCCUAUCAGCUUGUUGGUGGGGUGANGGCCUACCAAGGCGACGACGGGUAGCCGGCCUGAGAGGGCGACCGGCCACACUGGGACUGAGACACGGCCCAGACUCCUACGGGAGGCAGCAGUGGGGAAUCUUGCGCAAUGGGCGAAAGCCUGACGCAGCGACGCCGCGUGAGGGAUGACGGCCUCGGU
rnacentral:rRNA from 1 species